GCCCUUAUGCAGACAACAGGGGAGAACGGGUGAUGUAUGUGCGGGCAAGAGGCGUGGACUGUGCAGCACAAUGUGAACAUGACCCUGAAUACUUCACAGGCCGGGCUGAGUUUCCUGCACCUCCAACACAGGCCCGGACACCCACCCAAUGCCUCCAGACCCCCCCUGCCCACCUUGAUGCUGCCCUUCAUGAGGUUCAGAAUCCGCUGACAUAGUGAGGAGCCGUCUGGGCAUCAAGUUCUUCAGCAAGAACAUUUAGCUGGACCUGGCGGUAUGUACCAUCUGAAUUAGAUAAGGAAAGACUAUAGAGAAGACGUCACCUAUAGUCACUGAUAUCAUUGUGUAUUGUCCCAUCAGAGCUGUAGUCACUUGUAAGUUUUGCAGUAAUGAUGGGUGAAACAACAACUCCCAGCAUCCCCUCACCACUACUUAUGUCAUACUGGGAGCUGUAGUUUUAAAUUGUAAAAACUUCUUUAGCAUUUUCCCAUUCUGUGGCAAUUGGUGUAUUUGAUUAUUAUACUGGAUACAUUUAAUAAUAUUGUAAGUUCUUUAAGAAACACCUUAUUUUCUGUCCAGCAAAACGAAAUUCUCUAAUAGUGCCCCUCCCGAGACUAGACUCUGGAUCCGCCCCUGCUCAGCACACAAAAAGAGCAGAGCUCAAAGAGAGAGCAGAGCUCAAAGAGAGACAGAGCUCAAAGAGAGAGCAGAGCUAAAAGAGAAAGAGGCUAGCUCCACCCAGGGCUUAUAUGGGGGAGACUAGCAGGGAGCCCAUAGGUCACCUUUG